UUGGCAACAAUGUUGACAGCUGAUAAAGUAAGGUUAUGUUGUGAAAAUUAUAAAUUAAUUAUAUUGCAGAAUUAAAAGAAAUGUCUCAAUUUGAAGAACCAAUACCGUAUCCUUACGAUGAUGAUGUAGGCGAUUUAUUAGCUCAUGGAACAUUGAAAUUGUUUGUACCCCCUGUAACAGAAACUAAAAAACAACUCUCCGACCUUAGGGUAAAGCAAGCAAUAUUAACAGAACAGAUGCAUAACGAAAAUUUGAAACUAUCUUGGUCACAAAAUCAAAUUGAAUUGCAAGAAAUGUUUGAUUUGAUGAGAAUGUAUUAUGGAAAAUUGGUCAAUAUCAAAAAGCAAAUGAGGAGUAUUCACGAAAGGAGUUCUAAACUAAAGGUAUUUUUAAAAACAAUUUAUUCAUUAAAUAUAUGCUGAAUAAUUGUUUUCUCAUGUACUUGCUUUAUUCCUUUGAUAUGCAUUAUAAGAAACGCGCUGUGAGGUUGCAAAAUCAUGUUGAAAAAGAUAAUUAUAUUAAAAUGCAAGGACGAUAAAUUUUUUUUAAGUCAAAAUUUCAUUAAUUAAUUAAGAGAUUAAGGUGAAGGUUACUUGUAAAAAUAAAAAGUUUUUAUUCUGUAUAAAAUAUAUAUAUUUAC